rnacentral:rRNA from 1 species
GGGGGAAUUUUCCGCAAUGGGCGCAAGCCUGACGGAGCAACGCCGCGUGAGGGAUGAAGGCCUCUGGGCUGUGAACCUCUUUUAUCAAGGAAGAAGAUCUGACGGUACUUGAUGAAUAAACCACGGCUAACUCCGUG